rnacentral:rRNA from 1 species
AGCGAACGCUGGCGGCAGGCCUAACACAUGCAAGUCGAACGAACCUUUCGGGGUUAGUGGCGGACGGGUGAGUAACACGUGGGAACGUGCCUUUAGGUUCGGAAUAACUCAGGGAAACUUGUGCUAAUACCGAAUGUGCCCUUCGGGGGAAAGAUUAAUCGCCUUUAGAGCGGCCCGCGUCUGAUUAGCUAGUUGGUUGAGGUAAUGGCUCACCAAGGCGACGAUCAGUAGCUGGUCUGAGAGGAUGAUCAGCCACAUUGGGACUGAGACACGGCCCAAACUCCUACGGGAGGCAGCAGUGGGGAAUCUUGCGCAAUGGGCGAAAGCCUGACGCAGCCAUGCCGCGUGAAUGAUGAAGGUCUUAGGAUUGUAAAAUUCUUUCACCGGGGACGAUAAUGACUGUACCCGGAGAAGAAGCCCCGGCUAACUUCGUG